GGGAUCCUACGGGGGGCAGCAGUCGAGAAUCAUUCACAAUGGGGGAAACCCUGAUGGUGCGACGCCGCGUGGGGGAAUGAAGGUCUUCGGAUUGUAAACCCCUGUCAUGUGGGAGCAAAUUAAAAAGAUAGUACCACAAGAGGAAGAGACGGCUAACUCUGUGACAGCAGCCGCGGUAAUACAGAGGUCUCAAGCGUUGUUCGGAAUCACUGGGCGUAAAGCGUGCGUAGGCUGUUUCGUAAGUCUGGAGUGAAAGGCCGG
rnacentral:rRNA from 1 species